rnacentral:lncRNA from 1 species
UGAAGAAACAACUCUAAGACAAACUGGCCUCAAUAAAGGAGAAGAACCAGACUUUGCUAGAUCAGCAAAGAAAAAUAAACGAAAAUGAAGAGAAGCUGAUCGAGCUACGGAAGGAGGUAGAGAAGAUCUUUGAACAUAAGGCCAAAUUGAGGGAGGCUAAAUCAAUAAUCAAGAAACACGACUUGACCCUCCUCUCAUACCAACAGCAACUUGAG